AAAACGCAGCCUUCUCGCCGGGGAGAAUUCCCUGGAGGCGGGUGUUCUCCGUCUCUCACCAAGGGGCUUGUGAUCCUGUGUGGGGGAGACGCGGGCCACCCGCGGCUCCAGUCCCCCUCCAGCUCAUAUCUCGUUCUGCCAGCACCCAGCUCUUGGGCUCCAGGGCUGGGCCAGUCUCCCCCGCGCCCCCCCCCCCCAGGCGUCUGCCCCCCUGAGGACCUCACGCUGGCUGUGGAACUCCCGCCUCCUCCCAGACCAAGCCACUCCCCGCCGGUCCUGGAAGCUGCCAAAAACUCACCGCUUCUUAUAAGUUUCCGUGGCUCCUCAAGCCGCGGCCAGCCACCCCGCUCUCUGUGGCACCUUCUACACUCAGUCCAUGUUUUAAAAAAAAAAAAUUUAUUGAUUUAUUUGAAAGGCAGAGUUCAGAGAGAGAGAGAAAGAGAGAGAGAGAGAGAGAGAGACACACACUCCGCCCGGGGACCCCGCCGACCUCGUCGUGUUGGAGGAAACCACGUGGGAGACUCCUGGUGGACAUCACGGUGCCCACGGAUGCUCAGCCGCACUUCUCCACUCAUCCUGUCUCGCAAGUCAGGCACCCACAGGAGGCUCUCCACGCGUGGGCGCCAUCUGCACUUCCUCCCGCGUCUGCCUGGGUCUGUCCCCAGGGCUCUGCCUGCUAACUCGUCCUCCCAGGACCUUCCAAGAACGGAUCUGCUUCAGCCAUCGGCUCUGCCUUGCAGCCGAGGCCGCGGGGGCGGAACUGGCCCUUGCCUCUGCCGCUCUCCCUCUCCAUUACAUGAAACUUCAUUGAUUCAUUGACUGAACACUGGCAUUUCC
rnacentral:lncRNA from 1 species